ACACUCCUACGGGAGGCAGCAGUGGGGAAUUUUGGACAAUGGGCGAAAGCCUGAUCCAGCAAUGCCGCGUGAGUGAAGAAGGCCUUCGGGUUGUAAAGCUCUUUUGUCAGGGAAGAAACGGUGAAAGCUAAUAUCUUUUGCUAAUGACGGUACCUGAAGAAUAAGCACCGGCUAACCACGUGCCCGCAGCCGCGGUAAUACGUAGGGUGCAAGCGUUAAUCGGAAUUACUGGGCGUAAAGCGUGCGCAGGCGGUUUUGUAAGUCUGAUGUGAAAUCCCCGGGCUCAACCUGGGAAUUGCAUUGGAGACUGCAAGGCUAGAAUCUGGCAGAGGGGGGUAGAAUUCCACGUGUAGCAGUGAAAUGCGUAGAUAUGUGGAGGAACACCGAUGGCGAAGGCAGCCCCCUGGGUCAAGAUUGACGCUCAUGCACGAAAGCGUGGGGAGCAAACAGGAUUAGAAACCCCUGUAGUCCCAUGAU
rnacentral:rRNA from 1 species